GAGGGGCCGCUUCUUAAAGGUACUUGUUACUUGAAUUAGGUUUAAUAUGCUUUUUAUGUUUGUUGGUUUGAUGACUAUUGUUCUUGACUUUAUUUUUUCCACAUAGACAUGUCAGAGUUUUGCAGUGGUAUGUUUCUGUAUUGCUGCAGAGGGAAGGUCAAAACAUCUAGGAUUUGUAGAGUUUACAAUUGGUGGUUUUAGGCUUUUAGCAUGCAUGUUUUUUCAUGAGCUAUAAGGAAAUUUAGUUAAUGGCAUUGAAGGUGUUGUGAUCAACCAAACCCUGGUAUGAAAAGGUGGAAAAUGAAUAGCAGGUUUUACCAUUUCAACUUGUUUAUCAGUUGGAAAGAGCCUGAUAUAUAUAACAGGUUAGGGAUAUUAAUAACCUUAGGAUUUGAAUGAAGAUUUUCUUUUUCUUUUUUAAAUCAAAACUAGGAAUGUGAAACAAAAAUGUAAAUGUGUGGUAAUUGAUUGGGCUGCUGCUUGUUAGACAUUCCUAAAUAGUUGCUUGAAUGCAUAAUACUACUUUAAGCUCUUGGAAUUACACACUCUUCCUGGUCAAUGGUUUAUAUGCAAGCAUUUUGCUCUGCAGAUUUUUUUGUAGAAUUAUUUUGGUAAUGGUGGAAACAAAGUGCUUGCAUAUAAACAUUGUGGAUUUGUAUGGCUUGAACUCUGAAAGUAAAGGCCUGAUUACAAUGAGAAAAAGAGAACCUUAUGGAAGUGAGCUUUAUCUGUAAAAAUCAUGCCUUGGCAGAUUUCUGAUUUAUCUUAGCAUUGACUUCUGAAGCUUAGUUUUUAGAUGUUUGACUGAAUCUCUUAAGGUUGCAAAAAGCUGUAUCUUGUUUUGCAUCUAUUUGGGCUUACCUAAUUUUAUUGUGGAAUUUCUAUCUUAGGAUGAAUAUUUUAUGUAUGUUUUUUUUGUGUGUCAAGAUUAUGAUUCUAAUUUAUUUUUGAAGGUGUCGGAGGCUUCUGUAAGCAGAAACCGUAGCACUAUAAUUGUUCCUGCAGGAAGCUCCAGGGACGAAGGGUGGGCUGCAUUCAGAAACAUUUUGGCAGAGAUUAAUGAGGCAUCAAGGCUUUUCAUUAUGCCCAAUCAGGUUUCCUUAAUUUGCAUGUAGACAUUUUUUGUAGUUCCAAUUUAUCUUCUAGGAUCUGUUUAAUGUCAUCUAAUUGUUUGUAUUGCACAGCAGCAAAAUUCUGAAUCCUCAGAGCGUCUUGUCGGACUUUCGGAUGAUGUUGGUGCUGGCUUCAUAUCUGGUCAUAGUACACAACCUGCAACCUCUUCUGAAUUGAAUGUGGACAGGUCUGUUGAUUUACCAGCUCAGGAUGAAAUUGGAAACUUGGGGGUCUCAAAAGUUAUCAGGGCUGAUCAAAAAAGAUUCUUCUUUGAUCUUGGGAGCAAUAACAGGGGUCAUUUCUUAAGAAUAUCUGAGGUUUGUUGCCAUUGUCUUAUUGUCCUUUACCCUUUAUUAUGUUUUAGUGUUCGAAUAUGACUUUCUGCUUUAAAUUCUUGUUAUUUCAUUGCAGGUUGCAGGUUCUGAUCGUUCCUCCAUCAUCCUUCCUCUGUCAGGGCUCAAGCAGUUUCAUGAGAUCGUUGGUCACUUUGUUGAAAUCACCAAGGACCGAAUCGAGGGAAUGGCAGUUGCAAAUGUCCGCACAGUUGAUCCCCCUCAAAGAUGAGUGCUAACAUAUGGGGUUUUCUGUGACAACAAGUAGUCACUCUCGGCCAAGGUUUCGUUAGGGAAUGGGUGUUAUCGCUGUAUCUGAUUGUGCUAUUUUUAUUUUUAUUUUUCCUCAGCCUUCUCCUUCUCAUGUCAUCUUCAAUUAAUGCUUUUGAAAUAAUCCAAACACUGGUUGGUUGGUUAGCAGAAUAAAUGGAAUAUCUUGGCAAGGUCAAUAUGAAUAGGAAAUAACAAAAGAGAAAUGAACCAGAGACUUGUAUUUGUUUGGAUAGUUUGGCACCCGGUCUAUAUGUUGUAAUAAUGAUUGUUUAAUUAUUUUGCUUUGCUGCACAGUUUUCACAUGGAUUUAAAGUUCUCAUACAGGCUGAGGUAUCAACCACCAUGCGUACCAUAUUUUUAGGUUCGAUGAUUGGCUUCCUCCUUGCUUAAACUUAGCUUUCAUAGUUUUACCAUCAUUUAUCUGUUUUUUUUUGUCAAUUCAUUUAUCUGUUUCUUGUGUAUCUAAACUUGGGCCAAAACUAUUUGGACCAUCCUCAUUUACUAUCCACACCAUCCUUUUGAGCAAAAAUACAAUUAUACCCCCAGACUUAAAAAAAACUGAAUCAAUCAAACAGGAAAAGAAAACUUCUCCCCACACCAUCUCCCUCUCUCACGGUUUCUCUCUUUCUCUCGGCCCUUUCAUUCUCAACUUUCCCAAAUGAAAAAAAAAAAAAAACCGUAGCCACCACCCUGAUCUUUGUUGGAGAAGGAAGGAAGGAGGAAGAAGGAUCUUGAAGAAGUUGGAGAAGGAAGCAAGAAGAAGAAGCAAAGGAACAAGAAAGAGGAAGAAGAGGAAGAAGGAGAAGUCAAACAUCAUCUUGACAAAAUCGCUUGGUUUCCCGAUCUGUUUCAAUACACAAUUUAAAUUGCGGUAGCUUUAUGCUUACGGCAAUUUAAAUUGGGGUAGUACUAUGUUCCUCUGUUUUUCUGUUCCUUGAUAUCCUUUGGGUUUUUGAAUCGCAAAAUCGGGUUGUGUUCGUGAGCCUUGGACAGAACAUAAGAGAAAUCGAUUUCUAAAACCUUCUGUUAAAUUCAAAACCUGCCUGCUAUGUUCCACUGUUGGAUCCGCAAUUAAAAUUGCGAUAGCUUUAUCCUUUCCGUCAUUUUAAUUGCAGUAGUGCUAUGUUUCUGAUUGUUUGAUCUGCAAUUAAAAUUGAGUAAACUACCGCAAUUUAAAUUGAGUAAACUACCACAAUUAAAAUUGAGUGAACUACCGCAAUUUUAAUUGAGUAAACUACCGCAAUUUAAAUUGCGGUACCUAUAAAAUGUCCGCAGUUUAAAUUGCGGUACGAACCAGAACCCAGAUUUUCACGAAAAACGGUAAAAUUUCAAAAAUGACACCUUUUUUGAGCUUCUAUUCUUCUCUUUAUCUCACCCUUUGACGUUUACACUGACUUGAAGCUUCAAAUACCUCUAAAGUGUGUGAUAUGUUGAUUUAGAAUAUGAAAUAGGGAUAUGGGGAAGGUGAGAGUGGAAGAGGAAGAAGGAAGAAGGAAGAAGGAAGAAGGAAGAAGGAAGAAGAAAUGGGGUUGGGAGAGUAUUUUUUUCCCUGCUUUUAAUGUUUUAUACGUUGGGGGUGCUUUUAGGAUUAAAAAAAUAAGGGAUGGUGUGGAUAGUAAUUGGGGAUGGUCCAGAACCCAGAUUUAUAAGUCACUUUUAUCUAAUUAUCUAGAAUUAAGAAAAGUAGUUGCUAGCAAUAAAUUAGUAAAAAAAUUUAUCAACUUUCCUAGAUUGCCCCAUAAAUUUCUCUCUCCAAAUUUAUUUUCUUCAAAGUCACACCAUCUCUUUCAUACUCCCUCUGUUCCUAUUUAUCUGUCCAGGUAGAGAAGGUUCACACAAAUUAAGGAAAGCAAUUAAUUGUGUUGAUUUUCAUAAAAGUAUUAUUUGUUUUCCUAUAUCACCCUUUAGAAUGUAUUUUAUCUUUCUUCAUUUAUUGUUUCUGUAAGGGCAUUUAUUGGAAAAACAUCAAUUAAUGCUCUCUUGAAACUCUAAGUGGACAGAUAUAUAGGAACGCAAUUUUUUCUUCAAAGUGGACAGUUAAUAAGGAACGGAGGGAGUAAUAAAUAUGAGGGUAAUUUUGGAAAAGGGAAUUAAAUGAUGCAUUGGUCUUAUAAAGUGACUUAUAUUUUAGGAUAAAAAAAACUCUAAAAAUGUGACUUAUAAAUGAGGACGGAGGGAGUAACUCAUUUCUCUAUCUUCUCUUCAUAUUUAUCAAAGGUGGAAGUGGAAAAGAAUUGUAAACACAACAUCAUUCAAUUAGUGGAGAGGACGAGUUGAGGAGUUUUGAUUUUGUGUGUGUGUGUGCAGUGAGCGUAAUCGAUAGAAGCAGGUAAAAAUAAUGGUCCAAAUUUCGACUUUUUUCAGGAGUCCAUAUUAGAUAAACCCCUAAAAUAAAUUAAGGUAAAAUAUGGAUUACACAUAAUGUUUCACUAAUUUUCAUAUUCAUUUUAGGUGUCUAAAGUCUCUGCAAAUGUGAGGAAAGUCCUUUAAGUGGAGCUUCCGGGUGCACAAUUGCCUUGGUGUCGUCGUGCUUAGGUAGUUUAUCUCGACCUUGCGUAAGACUGCACCACCACUUUUCUAGUUUAUAUGAGGUGGUCCGUGACUGAACCAGGUUACGUUGGCCGCUUUUAUGGUGCUUGCUUAAGAGCAAGCCCUGGUGGGCCGACCCAAUGUCGUCAACUAUUAUUUUGAUUUUUGUUUUCAUUGGCGCCGUCUUUCUAGACAUUCGUGCCGACCAUACUGUUUUCUACAUUCAUAUACUUCGUUGAGGGCCUACGAAACUCAUAUAUGUCUUGCGGUGACGUCUUGGCUGGUGAAGUAUGGAAAUACGUUCUCACUCUUAUUGCUUCAUAUAUCAGAUGAAGCUUCACCUUCAGGUCCAAACUUGUAAUGAGUGUCGCUUCUAUGUAGAAUUUCCUUAGGAAGUCUUGCAACGACUCCUUAUUUCCUUGCUUUAGUUUUUCUAAGGUAUGUGAGAUUUUAGGUAGACCUUUGCUUGUAAUGAAGUGGUGAGCGAAUUGUUGAUAAAAAAAUUUCCAACUUCUUAUUGUCUCAGUUUGGAUGAAGAGACUAGUACAAUAAGAAGAAAGUUGCGCCGUGAAUCACCCACUGCAUUGAAAGUAAAAAGUUUGACAGAUUUUCGGUGUAAUUCACUGUCGGGUUUGCUUCCCAAUAUUAACACAGCUUGUUUACACGGAUUUUUGGUAAACAAAUAUCCUCUUAGUUCGACUAAAGGAAGUUUAGAUUCGGGGUCCUUUUGAGAAAACGCUUUGCCAAAGUGUAGUGUGUGAACGAGUGUAUUCUCGACAAUAAUAAACAACUCAAACGAAACUGGACUUUAUUGAGUAUGAGUCGAUUACAAAACAGUCAAGCAAACUUAAAAUAGCAUGAAAGCAAAUUUCGACAAAACAAGUUACACAUAAGAACUGGGAAUUAACAAACUGAAAUACAAGGAAAUUAAAGCGUUGGUUCUGCAAUAUACUCCUCCAUCAUCACGUUCUGCUCUCGAAGUCUCAUUGAUGCGGACGUUUGGAGCUUUUGGUGAAUUUUCAGAGUUUUUAGUUGGGAACCCUUUCUUCUGCUGCUGCUUCCUCUAUUUAUACUGUUCUUUCUGCCCAUGUUCUUGGCGGUUUUACUUGGAUGCACGAUGGCUUCGUGGGUUUUGAAUUUUGGCGCCAUACCCCACGUUUAGCCGAUGGUCUUCGCGCACGUGACUCUAUUGCCACGUGGAUGGUUCUGAGUCGCGGGCAACCGUUGCUAUUCGUGGCAUCGUGGGUGUACGCACGUGCUUGUAAUCGCUUGUUAUUCGGUAACUGCCCCUUCCAUUAAGAUGAUCGAGAUUUCUUCAUCUUCUGAGUGUGUCGAGUUAUGGCUUUUACUAACUUGUCUUUGAGGGACAUCGUGUGCUGAGUUGCCGGCUUCGCCCAACCCCUUCUGUCGAGAAACCACUUUUUGCACCAUGGUGUCGAUAAUUGUAAUGCUUGUAAUUUUGGCUUAACAGUUGCCCCCGAAAAAUGUUGGUUGUCGACUGCUUUAGCUCAAAGACACCAAGCAUUUUUUCUUAUCGCAGCCGUUCGAUUCCAACGAUUCAAAUGCUUUGUGCUCUCGACCCUUUGAUCUUCAAGUCCAAUCGGCAGCCAUAACGUCUGAUGACUUCUCCACUAGCUGACAGUUAUAGCCUUUUUAGGGCCAUGAUUUCACCUAUGCCAAAAAGCUGAGAGGUGACAUGAAUUAACUAAUAAAAUAAUCGCUUGGAACCCAAAAUUUUUAUAAAUUGCUGCUCAAUGCGGCUUGGGUUCCGUUUUCCCUUCCGUUUAUAAAUACCCUCUUGGUAUUCCUUGUUCAAGCUUUACUCUUUCAUCCAACCUGCAACUUCUUCUUCCAGACUUCAUCACUUCAUCUUCUUCCGUCUUCUCUGAAAUACUUGCUGCGUCUUUCAAUGGCUUCCAAUCCUGAGCAAACCAUUCCGUUGGCCACCGAGCUUAAGCUGGAUGAGUCCAAGCGCGUGCCAAUCCCAGAACCUCCCAACGAAGCAAAGAAGAGAGCUAUCUGGAAAUCCCAGGUACUCAUUCCUUUCUCUGUUAAUGGUACUUUACGCGCCAUUUUGGGCCCUUUGAAAGUAGUGAAGCAUGAUAGGCCCAAUAGUCUCCCUGAAGAACAUGAAUCAUUUCACCCUAGCGUUAGGGGAGAGGAGCUCAUUUUGGCAUUUCAACCCUCUUACCGUAUGCCAUUUCUUUCUGACCCAAAACGAGCCUUUCGUUCAGCCCCUCCUAACCCUUCUGCUAACGACAAGGCCUACCUGAAAUGGUUAGAUAGAGUUGAGGGAGAUAAGAGACAACACUGGAAGGAUGUAGGGAUUUUCGACUUGAUUCAGUUGUCGAGAUCUCCAAUCUCGUAUAACCCUGCUAUGCUGUUGAGUGCACUUUAUUUCUGGGAGAGGUCCACUAAUUGCCUUCAUGUUCCCUUUGGUAUGAUCACCCCCACCCUCUUGGAUGUUGCUGCUAUCACCGGAUUGUGGCCCAUUGGUGAUGAUUAUCACUCUGCACCUGCUCCUGUUAAACCCAUCUCGAUCCCUACUGACAACGUUUCUUUUAGUCGAUUCAUUAAGGACCAUUAUGUCGAGAGUGGUGAGGUGUCUGAUGCUGAACAUGUCGCUUUCUUGCUGUAUUGGCUGUCUGCUUAUGUCUUUUGCACCAAAUCUUUGCGCAUACCUGCCAAGCUUUUGCCUUUAGCCAAUCUGCUUCAUGAGGGUCGACAACUUGCUAUGGCUAGGCUCGUCCUUGGCAACCUGUAUCAAAUGCUGAAUGAAGCUGUCGAGGAUAUCCGGAACACUAAGACCGUCUCUCUGAAUGCGGCUGGACCACUUUAGCUGUUUCAACUUUGGUUGAAUGCAGUCUUCGAAUCGCUUCUGCCGGUACAAGAUAAUCCUCUAACUGUUUCUAACACCAGGAUUGAUGCCCAUAGGCUCGAGACCCUGACCCCUGCUUAUGAUGCGUCGAGUACUUUACCAUGUUUCUCGAGCUGAAACACUACCGUUCCAGUUUCUCUCCUUACAGCAAGGCUAUUCGUGGCCCUUUCUGGCUGAGGAAUUCUUAUCCUAAUGCCUCUGAUUCUGCGCUGCCCAAGGAGCACCACAUCACACUUUGGAGGACCCUCUUAUCUCCUAGGGUUUUAACUGUGGGCUUUGCUAGCAGUGACUACACUCUAUGUGGCUACAACCCUCAAUUGGUUUCUCGACAGUUUGGGCUUAGCCAAGUUCUACCCAACACUUUAUUUGACAAGAGUCUAGUCCUGUACCCCGGAACUAUUAAGAGGGUUUCUGUUUUCGACAAGACUGUUCAAUUUUAUAACAAGAGACUCCUCAACCUGAGCCCCUUCACUUACGCUCCUUCAUAUUAUGCCACUAAUGCUUUCAAAGCCUGGUGGUCUGAGUAUUGGGCUCAAAUUUCGAAGCCCCUCGUCGAUUGUCUGCAAUGCAUGACAGAUACUUUUCUUUUGCAGAAGCAGGAUCCGAAGAAGACCAAAGGUAUGCACCUGGCAGAAAUUCGAUCUUUUCAAGAGUUCUUUGGUGUGGUAUAUUACCCAACUCUUCGCCUUCGAGAUACAGUUGCGCAAGCAGCUCAAGUAUUAAGGCAAAAAUGGGAACUUAAAGCCAAGAAAUCCAAGUUAGUGGUUCCUCCUGGUGAGGAAGGUCUAUCUUUUGUUAUUCGAAAAACUGGCUUUAGGUUCCCGUCUUUGCCUACGAGUAAGUUUGCAUUGGCUUUUCCACCGAUCUUGCCUAAAUGGGUUGAUCAUGUAAACAUAAAUGUAUUGGCCAAUCAAGCUCUACCUCCUCGAAAGCGAGUGACUUGGACUAAGUACCACCUAUGGAACUUUCCGUAUCAUGUGCCCGUCGAAAUCUUCAACCACAUAUCGCUGAACAUGCGUAUUGGUCAAGGUAAUACUUCGACUUGGCCUUGGUUUUCCUGUUUUACUUCUUAAUUUUUCUUUUGUUUGCAGCUGAAGUCAUUAUUUGACCAGCUCCUCAAGUUAUUUCCCCAGUGGCUCAUUCCUCCAAGGACCAGCCAGUCGUGAUCGAGGAUGAUGAUGAUGAUGAUGAGGAUGAUGAUGUCAGUCUUGCUGACAAGCUCAAGGUACUUUCCUCAUGCUUUUACCUUUUCCUUUUCGAUUUCCUUGGAUUAUGGGCUGACGUAUGUUUCGACAGAGUCGGAAACGGAAACCUAAGCCUGUUGCUUCGGCCAGUCAGAAGAGGGCCAAGGGGGUUGGUGUUUCCACCCCUAGUGGGGCUUCUAAGUUGGCAUCUGAUGCCCAAACAGAAGUCGCUGACAAAGAGGGUGGUGGCGACGCCGCCAUUCAGGUAUGUUCUCCAUUCUCGAGGGUACCUUGUGAUAUUUUUAACCCGUGGUUUCCUAAUCUGAGUCAUCUCUUGUUUGUUUUGUUUCCUUUAGACUGAUGUUCAUGAGCACUCUACUUCCAAUCCUCCAUCCCGUGAGAAUUCCCCAGCUCCCAUUCCUGCAAGAUCCAAAACUGAAGGUGUCGAGAAACCUCCCAAGGCCGCAUCCUCAGCUAAAAAGACCUCCACAUCUAAGGGAAGGAGGAAGGUCAGGAGCAAAUCUCGUCAUAAGUCUCCUCGCCGUUCCAGAAGCUCCACCAACUCGAGCCCUUCUAAAGACUCUGCUUGCCAGGUAUCUUUAUACUUUUCAUGUUUUAUUGACUCCUCUAAUAUACGUUUUACUUUAUCGAAAGGGCAUUAAAGAGGUUUUUCUUGCAGGAGACUCAGGGUGCAACUUCUCCCAUCCGCGAAACAGAGCCUCUUCCAGGCAAGGAUGAUAGCCCUAUGCCUCCUCCAAUAUCGACUGCCACUGUGCAACAUUCGCCUAAAAUCAAGGGUGGCUCUUCAUCUCAUGUGUCUAGUGAAAAGCUCGACACUUUAUUUGAGGAGGACCCGCUGGCAGCUUUGGAUAGCUUCCUCGAUGGCACCUUGGAAUGGGACUCUCCACCCCGUCAAGCUGAUGCUACUGCUGAGACUGCUCAAUCAAGUGGGGUAGCCAAUUCUCAGCAGAUCGAGGAGAGUAUGGGUCGGCUGAAGGCUAUUGUCUUCGCCAAUGGGUUUCUCGACCAGAUCCAAGCUGAUCCUCAAGCGAGCCAUGCUGCUAAGGAAUUGCUUGUCUUCCUUCUUGGCCAAAAACUCGAUUCUCAACAGGUUGCUGCUUUGGCUAACCUUCAAUCUUUUUUAGUGGAUGCUUCAGCCACCUUUCAUCAAAUCAAGGAUGUUGGUCAAGCUGUCAGCUUUAAGGAGGCAAAAGUCUCUGCUGGUAAAGCUCAAGUUGCAGCAAUGAAAGAGGACUUCAAGAAGUUCACUGCUAGGAAGGUUUUGAUCGCAGAUGAAAUCUCUGAAGUCGACAUCAAACUUGAAGAACUGCAUCGAGAGAUUACCAAACUGGAGAAAAAGCGAGCUGAUUUGGUCGAGGAAGGCCCUGCUGUAAAGGAUCAGUUGGACGUGCUUACUAAAGACUCCAAGGCUCUGAUCAUCUCGACAAAAGAGGUUAUCAAGGAAUUGGAGAUUGAUCAGGCUGUGAAGAAGGGUCUCGAUGCCAAGAUUGCCACCUUUGCUGAUUGUUUGAACUCUUUUAAGACCCUGCUGUAGGACUCUUUUUUGUUUAUUAAUAUGUAAUGAUGGCACUAUUCUAACCAUGGCCUUCGAUGCCAAUUGCGUGUAAUAUUUCGACAAUGGUUUUGGCACCUAAGCCAUAUAAUUUGACGUUUAAUUUGCCAAGUCUUUUCAGUUUCCACUACGCAUUUAUUUUGACGGCUAUUCAUUUAUUGUUGCAUCGCUCAAACUUCCUUGCACCCCCUCACACAGUCGUCGCUUUGUUUCUGGGGAAUGAACCAAUUUAUUGCAAUCUUAUACCACGUUUUCUUGAUUCAAUGCAAGUCUUUGUUCAUUAAAAGCCAAAGCUAUUCACGAUGGUGGUGGUAAUCUGCAUGGCCUGUAACCGUAAGAUGAAGAUUUGGCAACUGAUUGCCACUAAUUAAUGCAUUCCUUGGUUGUUACCCUAUAAAUAGAGCGUUUUUGGUUACUCCUUUUCAGUAACUUCUCCAAACUCUCCCUUGUUUCUUUUCCAGAAUUCUUUUCCUGCUUUCAUAAAUCCCUUCAGCCAUGGCUAGCCGUCGUGUUCUCAACCAGAUCCGGAACUUGGCUUUUGAUCAAGACUUAUUCUGGGAGUUGCACUCUUUCCUCCCUUUGGCUGAAGAGCUUACGGGGCUCAUUAACCAACUUCUUUCGAGGAAUAUUAUUGCCUCGGUAAGAAUUCCUCUUCAGGAGUUCUUGAGCCUCCUGCAUGAAGCUGUACCUCUAUAUGAAGAACACCGGGAGCUUACUGCUCGAGUGUUCUUUGCUGAACACCAGAUUGAUGAGAAGAUGGAGGAGUUUGAGGAGUUGAAGGCUGCUCUUAGCCAGGCGAACCUCGAGGGGAGUGUGGGAGCUCUGAAACCCUUGGUGGACAAGCUUUCUUCUACUGCCCGUGAAGAGCUGGAUAUUCGACAGGAGAAAUCGCGACUGGAAUCCCAACAAGAAGAUGUCUUGAGGCGCAUAGAGCCUCUUAGGGCCAGAUACAAUAGUUGUAGGGCCAACCCUCCUUUUUAAAAUUUCUUUGCCAUAGUUGUAAUGCUCUAUUCUAUUCAAUAAAACAUUCGCAUUUGGCAAUUUAUUCUCUUUUACUUCUUUAUUCGAUGUUUAUCUCAUGCAAUGUUGGCUUAUACGUUUUUAAAUAUUUGCCAUUUAUCGUCAUUUGUCGAUUACCUCCUAAUUCCUUAAUCGAAUAAGCGUUGUUUAAAAGUACUUUCUCGACUGAAAAAGGGCCUUCCCAGUUUGGGGACCAUUUUCCGUAACGUUUAUCUUUUUUAUCAAUUGGUAAGACGACCUUCCAUACGUAAUCACCAAGCAUAAAAGAUUUAGCUCUAACCUUUUUGUUAUAAGCUUUAGCAAUGCGAUCCUUUUGCCUGGUUAAGGUAUCCAACACCAAUAAUCUUUCUUCGUCGAGAUUGACUAAUUCGUCAAGCAUCAUACUCCAAUAAUCUUCACUUGGAAUUUCCUCUUGCCUUUGAAUUCUGCAUGACUGUAAAUAUACUUCUACUGGUAGUACCGCUUCUUGACCAUAUGCUAGUCGAAAAGGCGUUGCUCCGGUAGAUUCCUUAGGUGAAUUCCUGUAAGCCCAAAGCACUUGGCCUAACGUUUGAUGCCAGUUUUUAGGUUUUCGACCAACAUGUUUUUUAAUCAAGGAGAUCAACGUUUUGUUGGCCGCUUCGACUUGACCAUUCGCUUGAGCAUAAUAGGGGGUCGAGGUUAGGAGUUUUAUACCCCAAGAUUCUGCGAAUGAUGCUACCUUUUGGCCUACAAACACUGUGCCUUGGUCUGUAGUCAGUGACUCAGGUAGCCCAAAGCGGUACACUAUGUGAUUCUGAAUGAACUCGAUCACCGUGUCCUGGGUCACAUUUUGUAGAGGAAUUGCCUCUACCCACUUGGUAAAGUAAUCUAUAGCCACUAUGAUGUACUUAUGCUGCCUAGAAGAACAUGGGUUAAUUUCGCCAAUUAGGUCUAAAGCCCAACCCCUGAAUGGCCAAGGCUUAAUGAUCGAGUGUAGUUCACUUGCUGGCACAUGUUGUAUCCCCGCGUGUCUCUGACAAUCUUGGCACCUCUUGGCAUACUCCAUACAAUCUUUCAUAAUAGUAGGCCAAUACAUCCCUUGUCGAAAUAGGAUCCAUUUCAUCUUGAUUCCUGCCUGGUGGGCACCACAUAGCCCGUCGUGAACGGCUGAGAUCGCUAUGAACGCGUCGUCUUCACUUAAACACUUCAGUAGUGUUCCGUCGACGUUUUUCUUGAAUAGCUCGUUUCCCAUGAUGACAUAGCUCAUUGCCCUGUAUUUUGUCUUUCUAUCUGUAGUACCCACAGGAUUUUGCAAGUAAUCGACAAUUGGCUUUCUCCAAUCAUUAGGUGCCAUAUUGUCAAUGACCAGGAUGUCGAGGUUAGAGGGGUUUAGUUUUUCUUUGACCUCGAUAAGCUCUUUUAACCUACAUUUAUCGACCGUAUAUCCUGACGCGAUUUGUGCUAAUUCAUUGGCUUCUUGAUUGUCCACUCUGGAGACGUGACCUAGCCUAGCUUCGUCGAAUUUGGCCAACAAAUUGCUAGCUUUCGUGUAAUACCUAGCUAGAUUUUCACUAAUGCACUUGUAUUCCUUGGUAAGUUGCUUUAUUACCAACUCAGAGUCCCCUUUUACGACGACAUUCUUUGCCCCGAGGGCUAUCAGGAUCUCGAGGCCUGAUGUUAAUGCCUCAUACUCAGCCUCAUUGUUUGAGCAGUUACUCUUAAUCCUAAACUUGAAUUUCGUGGGGAUGCCCCUUGGGGAUACGAUGAACAUCCCGAUCCCAGUGCCAUUUUUAUGGCUAGAACCGUCGAAAAAUAGCUCCCAAGGUUGGAUGCCUACGUAAGUUAUGAUUUCUUGAGGCAAAGUAUGGUCUGCCAGGAAGUCAGCAAUUGCUUGUCCCUUAACCGCCUUCAGUGGGGCAUAAGUUAGUGAAUACUCGGUUAGGGCUAAAGCCCAUUUACCAAUUCGACUAUGCAAGAUAGGUUUGGAUAACAUGUGCUUUAUUAUAUCAUAAUGAGAAAAAACCAUUACAUCGAUUGGCUUUAUAUAAUAUUUCAGCUUUACACAAGAGAAGUACAAGCAUAAACACAAUUUCUCGAUCAUGGUGUAUCGAGUUUCUGCAUCAUUUAACACCCUGCUUAAGUAAAAUAUGGCUCUUUCUUUGCUAUCUUCAUCUUCUUGAGCCAACAUGCUUCCGAUGGUUCCAUCCGUGGCAGAGAUGUACAGCUUCAUUGGCUUUCCUCUUAUAGGUGGUGCCAUUAUAGGUGGGCUAGACAAGUACACUCUGAGUUCAUCGAACGCUUUUUGAUGCUCUGCUUCCCAGCGGAACGCAUCUUCCUUUUUAAGUCGAAGAAGUGGGGAAAAUGACUUGGUCUUCUCACUGAGGUUAGCAAUGAAUCUCCUUAGGAAGUUAAUCUUUCCCAAUAGUGAUUGCAGUUGUUUCUUGCUGGUUGGUGGACUAGUGUCGAGAAUGGCUUUAGCUUUGUUCUUGUUGAUCUCGAUGCCCUUUUUAUGCACCAAAAAACCCAAAAAAUCACCUGCAAUAACACCAAAGGCACAUUUAAGGGGAUUCAUCUUCAAGCCAUAUUUUCUCAUCCUCUCAAAGGAUUUCCUUAGAUGCAACAAAUGGUCAUCCCUUGAUGGGGAUUUCACCACGAUGUCAUCAAUAUAAACCUGCAUGAAGGUUUCUAUAAAAUCAUGAAAAAUGGUAUUGAUUACCCUUUGGUAGGUCGCGCCAGCGUUUUUCAACCCAAAUGGCAUGACCACCCAUUCGUAUGUCCCCAAGGCACUAGGACAUCGAAAAGCUGUUUUCGACACGUCCUCUUCUGCUAUGAAGAUUUGGUUGUAGCCUGAGUAACCAUCCAACAAGCUUAAGUAUUCGUGACCAGCAGCUGAGUCCACCAUCAUCUCAGCAAUGGGCAUGUGAUACUCGUCUUUUGGAGUGGCAGCGUUAAGAUCUCGGAAAUCUAUGCAAACUCUCAUCUUUCCAUUCUUCUUGAUUACUGGAACCACGUUGGCUAACCAGUCCACAUAUCGAGCUGUUCUGAUAAAUUUACACCUGAGGAGUCUUUCAAUUUCUUCCUUGAUUUUCACCAACACAUCUGGAUGGAACCUCCUGGGCAAUUGUUUGACUGGUUUCUUGUCUUCUUUGAUGGGCAACUUCAAUUCCACCACUUCUCGACUGAGGCCAGGCAUUUCAUCGUAAUCCCAAGCAAAACAGUCUUUGAAUUCCUUGAGUAAUUUCACCAUCCUGUCUUUUAGCUCCGGGUCAAUGAGAGCACUGAUGUACGUUGGCCUCUUUUCUAAGCCAUCACCCAGGUUCACUUCUUCUAAAGGGUCUUGCGCUUCCAUUUUCUUGGAAAAAUCGACCACUGGCUUCUCGAAGCCCAAUGCGCCGUCAUCAUAAAUGCAAUCUAGCCUCAGGUUGCAAAGGUCCUCGAAUCCACAUUCCUCGGCACUCCGCUCGUUUUCUUCUAUGCACGUGUCAUCCUUAUUUGUUGUUGCCUCCUCCUGAGGUGUUAAUUCGACGGGCAGGAUUGAGGCAUUGGUUUCGUCAGUAGCCAUUUCUUUGGCUAUUCUUGCGGCCUCUAAGGCCGUCCUUAUUCUUUUUUCGGCUGCGUAAGCCGAAAUUCGAGCUAGGCUCGAGUUAAUCAUCUUUAACCUCAUUUUGCCACUCAGUUGUGGCAUCCUUUUCUUCAUCGCUGUGCCAUCCACUCAUGGCAUCAGGUUUGUAUGCUUCAUUGAGGUUUAGGCCCCAGAUGGGAUCCAGCGUUACUGAGUACUCUGAGUAGGGGUUGAAGUAUUGGCUAGCCACUGUGUCUAAAGGAGCAAUUGUGGCUAAACUCUUCUCGAAAUUCUUCUUACCAACGUAGCUUGUUUCUGCUAAAUAGUAGCUUUGAUCUGCUUGUACAUUUUCGACAACUCCAUCAGCUUUCCAAAUGGAUAUACGUUGGUGUAAGGUCGAAGGCACUGCCCCCACGCCAUGAAUCCAUUCUCUUCCCAGCAGCAAAUUGUAAUUGGCCUUUGAAGGGACCACAAUGAACAAUGUGGAACGGGCUACUGUUCCUACGGUUAUGUUCAACAUAAUUGCCCCUAGGGAAGAACCUGUCUUUCCUUCAUAAUCAGAAAGCACCAUGUCAUGUGAGAUUAGAUCCGCUUCAGUUUUACCUAACUUCUUAAGCAUAAAUCCGGGCAUGAGGUUGAUUGCAGCUCCCCCGUCGACAAGGACUUUGUUAACACCCUUCUCCUCGACUCUGGCCCAAACAAAGAGCGGUUUCAAAUGGCUCUUCAUUUGCUCGGUUGGCCUUUGGAAGAUAGCUCUUUCAUCUUCGACAGAUCCUCUCUGCAUCACAUAAUAACACAAAGGAUUGUCAUCUGGUUCGUCGUCGACAUAGUAGUCUUCCUCGCUUUCAGUGACCUCUGAAAUUCUAUCAAAUUCUGCAGGUAGGAUAGACACGAUGCAGAUGAUGUUAAGCUCUUCUCCAUCACUGUCGUCGAAAUCUUCGAGCAUGUCUUCAUCCUCAUCCUCGACAACAUCCUUCCCUUUUUUCUUAGCUGGAUUUGGUGGUACGGUUGUUCCCUGUUUGAUGGCGUGGUCCAGCUGGUUGAUAAUCGACGCCACACUAGGUUCAUUGCGAGAGUUGUCUUCUGGCUUUAUGUCCCAUAGUGAACGGAACUUGCCACCUCUUUCCCUCUCAGCUUUCCUUUUCCUCAAAAAACGCCUGAACUGAGUCCUGGUCAUUUGUUCAGGAGCAUAGUAGUUCCCAGAGCCAUAGGAGUAGCUUCGUGACACACGGGAAUUGUUGAUGUAAGAGGAUCCCUGGCCUAAGUCGAUUUUCUGCCACUUAGGGUAUGGUUUUGGCCUUGGAGGCGUUGGCCUGAACCAUUGGUUUCUUGGCAAUCCAGCAUUGGGGAGGUAAGUUUUGUCUUUAUUGCUUGCUUUCUGGCCUUUAUGGCCAUCGAGUUCCUGGUCUCUCUCGACCCACUCCUCGUGAGGGUACUUCAAUCUCCUGGAUACAGGAGCCUUUCUCUGAUAAUGCCUUUUCAUUUCUGAAUCUUGAUAGGCCUUGGCUGCGGAUUUGUCGAAAACAGCGCUGCAUCGAGGGCACAGCAUAACUUCUUUCUCGCCAUCUUUGCUGCGGGAUAGAAACUCGACAAGGGUUUCUCCAGCCUUGGGGUAAACCUCUUCCAAGUUCACUUCCUUCACGACGUCUGGUUCUUCGACAGCCGUGUUUUCCUCCUUUGCCUCCUCGAGUGUCAGGCCCAGAUUCAGCUUCUCGGAAAUGUCGACCAUGCCAAUGUAGAAAGGUUCCACGUAGUUGGCUUCAGCUACCUGCAGUGGGUCGGAAUCAAUCUUCAUUUGACUUUUGGUUUUUUCGUCAUACUUGAGCCUUCCUGAGUCCAAUGCCCCCUGCACAAGGUCCCUGAAACGAACACAUUGUGAGGUCCAAUGACCAAAAAAGUUGUGAUAUUUGCAAUAUUUCUUCCCUUUCCUUUGUUCAGGAGAAGGAAGUUUUUGGUCUUUAGGGACCACAAGCAAACCAUCAGACACAAGUAUAUCAUAGAUUGCAUCGCAUUUGGCCACAUCAAAAGUAUAAGUUUUCACAGCAGGAAUCGUGUUCUUGGGGUUUUCCUCCCCAAGUUUGUUUUCACGUGGUUUCAAUGCUUUACAAACAUAAGGAUCCCCUGGCUGAAGUUCAGCCAGAUUGACGUCAUUCAAAUCGACGUCCGCCGGGACUUCUCGAUAGACACAUGGACUCUGACCUACUGAAUCCGCGUCUAUGUACGCUACCUUCUCCUUCUUUGGCCACUUGGUAGUCUUGGCCCUUUCCUCUGACUUUUCGGCCUUUAGCAAUUCGAUGUGCCUCACUCUAUCUGCGAGUAAAGACAUAUCUCGAAUAUACUGAGUGUCGAUUUUCUUUCUAAUGGAAUAUUCUAGACCACCAGCGGCUAAGACAACUAGCUCGUGUUCAGGGACAUGGGUGAAACAUCGGGAUUUAAGCAUCCUAAACCUGUUUAGGUAAUCAUCAAUAGACUCCGCUGGCUUUCUUUUAACACUAGCCAGGUCCUUCAAACUUACUUUGCACUCUCCCCUAAAGAACUGUUCAUGGAAAAUUCUUUCCAACUGGGCCCAUGUAUGGACUGACCUAGGAGCGAGGGUGGUGAACUAGGUAAAUGCAUUUUUGGUUAAAGAACUCGGGAAGUACUUCAUUUUUAAAUUUUCAUUGAUGGCUAAGUCUCCUGCUUCGAUUUGGUACCUGGCUAUGUGUUCUACCGUGGACUCUCCUGAAUCCCCCGAGAACUUAGUGAAUUUGGGGACCUUCCAGCCUCGAGAGAGUUCUGCUUCGAGAACCUCCUCUGUAAAGGCUGACACAAAAUGGGGUCUAUUCGCGAAACCCACGUUGAAACCAUGUUGGUUCAACAAUUGCUCCACCACAGCAGCAACAUUUUGUUGCCCCCCAGCGUUCUGGUGUCGAAUUCUUUCUAGCACACCAUCAGCGUGUUCUUCCCUGUUUACCAUAUACACAUUUUGCAAUGGCGGCUGCACUGCCUCGUACAAAGGGUUUGCCCUCAUCUCUUGGUGUUGCGGCGCCUGAUAGCGCACCGGGGCAGGGAUAUGGUUAGGCAACGGGAUUUGGUUAAUCCCUGGUGCCGGUUGGAUUUCGACUGGUGCCCCCAGGGCUGUCGCCAAACGAUCCAUCUGUCGUUCCAAAUGCUGAUUAUUGGCAUUAUUAUUUUGGAGCACAGGGUUGAUUAGCUCACCUAUCUGUCGAGAUAGCAUAUUAACCAUUUCAUGGUUACUAUCAUCUACUUGCUGCCUAAUGGCUUGAAGUGAACCAUUAUUCAUACCUGUAGAUAAAUAAAUUUGUGAACUAGAUCCAGGAAUAGAAGGGCUAACUCGACUCCCCAAAUUUAGCAUUGUUCCAUUUGCCCCAAAAGGGGGUAUGCCGAAUGGAGGAACAUUUUCAGGGAACGUCGAAUACGUGCCUUGUAUGCCUUGCAUUAUAGACGUAGGCAUACUAUAAGGCAUGUUUUCCCUCGUAACUGUUGGAACAAUUUGUGCCUGUACUGAUGUAGAUACAGGCAUUUCUGCAACUGCAGAAAUUGCUACAUUCUGGGUUGGCAUAGUGGUGCCAUGCCCCAUUCCAGUAGACACUUCUUCAUUAUUGUUACCGCUACUUCCCCCAGGGCUACUCUGAUUACCCACGUUAGAUCCUUGGGGGGAGGUUCUUCCUCGAUUACUUGCCAUACUCAAAGUCUUACCACUUCUCAGGUGCAUAUAAAUCACAAUCAAGGCAAGUAGCAAAUACCAAAUAGCAUGCAGCAAACAAAACACACAAAACGCUUCUGUAAAACUUAGUUUUCACAAAAACGGUCCCACUGGGCGUGCCAAUUUGUUUACACGGAUUUUUGGUAAACAAAUAUCCUCUUAGUUCGACUAAAGGAAGUUUAGAUUCGGGGUCCUUUUGAGAAAACGCUUUGCCAAAGUGUAGUGUGUGAACGAGUGUAUUCUCGACAAUAAUAAACAACUCAAACGAAACUGGACUUUAUUGAGUAUGAGUCGAUUACAAAACAGUCAAGCAAACUUAAAAUAGCAUGAAAGCAAAUUUCGACAAAACAAGUUACACAUAAGAACUGGGAAUUAACAAACUGAAAUACAAGGAAAUUAAAGCGUUGGUUCUGCAACAUACUCCUCCAUCAUCACGUUCUGCUCUCGAAGUCUCAUUGAUGCGGACGUUUGGAGCUUUUGGUGAAUUUUCAGAGUUUUUAGUUGGGAACCCUUUCUUCUGCUGCUGCUUCCUCUAUUUAUACUGUUCUUUCUGCCCAUGUUCUUGGCGGUUUUACUUGGAUGCACGAUGGCUUCGUGGGUUUUGAAUUUUGGCGCCAUACCCCACGUUUAGCCGAUGGUCUUCGCGCACGUGACUCUAUUGCCACGUGGAUGGUUCUGAGUCGCGGGCAACCGUUGCUAUUCGUGGCAUCGUGGGUGUACGCACGUGCUUGUAAUCGCUUGUUAUUCGGUAACUGCCCCUUCCAUUAAGAUGAUCGAGAUUUCUUCAUCUUCUGAGUGUGUCGAGUUAUGGCUUUUACUAACUUGUCUUUGAGGGACAUCGUGUGCUGAGUUGCCGGCUUCGCCCAACCCCUUCUGUCGAGAAACCACUUUUUGCACCAUGGUGUCGAUAAUUGUAAUGCUUGUAAUUUUGGCUUAACACAGCUGCACACAAGAUACUGUGUACUCAAAACCUAAACGUGCUAAAACCUCUACAAUAAUGUUUAGAAUUUCGGAAAAGAUCAAGAAGACUAAUUUUCCUUCAUAUAUAUCAUGUUCUACGAGUUCACCUUCUUAAAAAGUUCACCAAUCCUUUUUACCUUCUACUAACUCUUUUCUUUUCCAUGAAAACCAUAAUAAUACUAAUAUUAAAUGUCAAUUAAAACCGUAACAGAUUUAAUUGCUAUUGGAUUGUACAACCGUGGAAAAAGAUUUAAUGUGAACUGAAGAAUUUAAAACCAAUAUAUGUUUUAAUUGGGUAGGUGGAAAAACCUGUCGAAAAAAAACUGGCAUGCCAUUAAUUCUUACAGUAUGCUCAAAUUACUUGUUUCAAUUUUGUCAUGUUUGUUAUGGAGUGUGAUAGACCGCUUAAAUUGCCGCGAGAGCGGGGAAUGUCCAAACGUAAACAGAGAGAGGUUUUUUUUCAAGGUUUUGUUUGCCACCUGUUGAAAUGACAAAGAGAGCUAAUGAAAAGUUCCAAACAAUAGAAAGUCAAAAAACAAUGAGUGGUGGAGCUAGACGCAAGGUGCACCAAAGAGAAAACCUCGGCAGGACGAAGCUCACAUGACUGAAAAUAGGUGAGACAAUGGGAUAUAAAAAGGGAGAAAUCAUGUAAGUGCAAGAGGCAGAAGAAGAGAAACAAUCUAUCUUCUUCCAAAUAAAAAAUAAAGGAAGGAGAUAGGAAAGGGUUGAAAAGGAUAAAAAAAAAAUUACAUUAGAUACAUUGUUGGCUGAAGGAAAAAAAUUCAAAAAAAUGGCUCGUGGAGCGAUUAUUGCAUCCAUGCUCUGCCUUCUGGCUGUAGCAGUGGUGGCUGAAGACCCUUAUAUCUAUUACACAUGGAAUGUGACCUACGGUACCAUUUCACCUCUUGGAAUCCCCCAACAGGGUAUCCUCAUCAAUGGUUUGUUCCCAGGACCUGAAAUCAACUCCACCAGCAACAACAACAUUGUCAUCAACGUGUUCAACAACCUUGACGAGCCAUUGUUGUUCACAUGGAGCGGUAUCCAGCAGAGGAAAAACUCAUGGCAAGAUGGUACAUUGGGAACUCAGUGCCCCAUCCAGCCAGGAACCAACUACACAUACAAGUUCCAGGUCAAGGACCAGAUCGGUAGCUACUUCUACUACCCCUACACCGGCCUCCAGAGAGCCGCCGGUGGAAUCGGUGGUUUGAGAAUCUACUCCAGGUUGUUGAUCCCUGUCCCAUAUGCUGACCCUGCUGAUGAAUACUGGGUCCUCAUGGGUGACUGGUACGCCAAGCCCCACACCACCCUCCAGAAGUUUUUGGACAGUGGUCGUAGCCUUGGAAGGCCAGAUGGCGUCCACAUCAUGGGUAAAAAUGGUAGCCCAGUCCCACUCUACACCAUGGAGCCUGGAAAGACCUACAAGUACAGGCUCUGCAAUGUGGGUAUGAAGGACUCCCUUAACUUCAGAAUCCAAGGCCACCCAUUGAAGCUUGUUGAGAUGGAAGGCUCCCAUGUGGUGCAAAACGUCUACGACUCCCUCGACAUCCAUGUUGGUCAGUGCUACUCUGUCCUCGUGACUGCCGACCAGGAACCAAAACAAUACAAGAUGGUCGCCUCCACACGCUUCACCAAGAAGGUGUUGUCCGCCACCGCUCUCAUCACCUACUCUAACGGUAACGGUCCCGCCUCCCCUGAGCUCCCACCUGCACCUGAAGGCUGGGCCUGGUCCCUCAACCAGUUCCGUUCCUUCCGUUGGAACUUAACCGCUAGUGCUGCCAGGCCUAACCCUCAAGGCUCUUACCACUACGGCCAGAUCAACAUCACCCGAACCAUCAAGCUCGUGAACACCGUCUCUAGGGCUAACGGAAAACUCCGAUACGGAAUCAACGGUGUGUCCCACGUUGACAACGAAACCCCACUCAAGCUCGCCGAGUACUUCGGUGUUGCUGACAAGGUUUUCAAGUACAACAUCAUCUCCGAUGAGCCCCCGGCAACCAUCGGUGACCUCACCUUGGCUCCCAAUGUCAUUAACGCCACUUUCCGUACCUUCAUCGAGAUCAUCUUCGAGAACCCCACAAAGGUUGUUCAGUCAUACAACUUGGAUGGUUACUCCUUCUUCCUUGCCGCAGUUGAGCCAGGGAAAUGGACACCCGAGAAGAGGAAGAACUACAACCUUUUAGAUACAGUGAGCAGGCACACCGUUCAGAUAUACCCCAAGUCAUGGGCAGCAAUCAUGCUUACAUUCGACAACGCUGGCAUGUGGAACUUGAGGUCAGAGCACACCGAGAACCGCUACCUUGGUCAACAAUUGUACAUCAGUGUCUUGUCUCCUGAACGCUCUCUCAGGGAUGAGUACAACAUUCCAGAAACCCAGCUCCUUUGCGGCAUCGUCAAGGAUAUGCCCAAGCCCGCACCCUACUCUUAAGCAUUUAUCAACCUGCAUUAAGACGAUGUAUUAGCUUUAUUUUGUAGCUGAUGUAUCCACCGACCCUUUCCUGAAUGCCACAAAUUUUCAGCUCCAUAUGUAUACACAUAUAUAAUAUGAAUGUCAAAUUCUCCUUCCAAUCCACUUCUAUGUGGGUUUUGUCAUGGAAUAUGUACACACAUCAGUUCUUUCAUUAAUUUCAAGUGACGGAAAUUAAACUUUACUCAAGCUAGAGCUACUACGACCUGAGCUCACACCAUAAGCAGAAGGAUAUAUAAUUGAACUAACCAAAAGAACUAAAUAUUAAGAAGAAAUUAUUAGUCUGUUUGUGCUGGUUUGGGUGGGUUGUGCCCAGAGGCGGACCCAGAAAUUUUGUGACACCUGGGCAAAAUUUUCACAUCGUCUUGAAUAUUUGGAGGAUACUCAUUAAUUUGUUUCCUACGCCCUGGAUCACGCACAAUCUCAUUCGGAUGAAACUCAUUGACCACAUUAGGCGAUGGUUCUACUUCGGCUUCCGGUUGUACAACAUUCACAUUCUCAAUACUUGCUCUAGGAACCAAGAACUUCCUCAUCUCUAAAAUUUAAUGAUCUAAAGAAACAACAAAGAAAAGCACAAUUAGAAAUUAUGAUCAAAUUAAAAAAGCACUAAAAACAACACUAAUAAAUAAAAAUGAAAAGGAGACAAUCUAUAUUCACAUGAUUAGUAUAUUGGAUGUACAAAAAAUGGAAGAGAAGAGAUCAUGGACCACAAGCAAUUACCAAAUUUUGGACCACAAGCAAUUACUAAAUUGAAUUGAAUACAUUACACAUUAUACAAUAUACAUGGCAAAUGGCAAUUGUUGGCAAGUGGCAAACCGCAUCUCAUGACUCAUGUAAUCUGUCUCUCACACUUUUCUAACUUAUCCUUCACACACUCACAUAGUCACACAUGACACAUACAAUUAAUAUUUGAUUCAAGAAUACCAAACCCAACUCACUCACGCAUCUCUCACUCUCUGUCUCACUUUUCCCUUUUUUUUUUACCUUUUCUGCCUUAACCUUUCUCUCAGUCUCUCACUCAGUCUCUCUCACCGCUCACCUCCUCUCCUCUGUUCCUCUCGACAACGCCCACGCCACGCCUCACCCACACGACACGCAGGCCGCAACCGCGCCCUCACCCACACCGGCACACGCAGGCCGCAGCCACGCCCACGCCCUCACCACCCACCGCCUCAGGCGGCCCUCACCCACGCCCUCACACCACAGCCCACAGGUCUCACUCACGGCACACCCCCUCACAGAGUCACAAUAGGAUAUUGAGAUUUACAGAGCAAAUAAGUUUGAAGCUAGGAUGGAGAAAUCAGAGAGAAAGAGACCUGAUUCCUGAAGAUUGAAGCUUGAAGAGUAAGAGUACUCAGAGAGAAAUGAAGAUUGCUGAAGAUUGAAGGGAAGCCUGAAGAUUGAAGCCUGAAGAUUGAAGUCAAUUGAAGUCUGAGAAGGAAAUUGAAGCGUGAUUUGAAGCCUGAAGGGAGAAAGUGAGUAGGAAAUUGAGAAUAGGGUUUCUAUUUUAUUAUUUUCCCCUUUCUUUUCCCCUUUAUAAAAUAGUCCUCAAUUUUACCCCAACCUUUAAAUUUUGCCCUUUUUUAUUUUUUUUUUGAGGCCCAAAAGAUGAUGUGGUCCAAAGAAAAAAAUUUUUUUUUGGUCAGAGCUUGGGCAUUUGCCCUAGGUAGCCAGGCGCUCAAUCCGCCUCUGGUUGUGCCUAUAUACUAGCUAAUAUCGGCAUUUGUUUCGUUUUUUAUUUGUAUUUUCCCUUUGCUAAAUUUUGUACUUUGUUCGUGGGUUUGAAGUACCCUUUUACUUCCUUUAAUAAAAUGUUUCUAUAAAAAAAAAAAAGAAUAAUAGAGCGAUCAAAUGGAAAUGUAUAUGCUUAAUACGGAUUCAAAAUUCUAAACAUUCGUUCGUGGUGUAUAAAAUGCACUGUUUAUAAGUUAUUUUACAAUGAUGAGCCAUUAAAUUGUUUUCUAAUUUUUUCCCGAGUAAUGAUAUAUACACACCUCCUUAUUUAUACACUUCAUUUCCACCUAUUUUUAUUUCUAUCUCUCUCCUCUUAUCAUCUAUCAUAUCUUAUACUUUCUCUUUCUUACUUUUUAUUUUCUUCCUAUCUCUCUCCUCCUCCACCUCUUUCCACCUCAAUUUAGAGGUGUGGACAAAUAAUUAUUGAUUUUUUCCCUAUUGUGUUGUUUGGAUAUAUACAAUUGCAUACGUGUCAUGUGUACUUGUCAUUUUAUAGAUUUAAAUAUGUUUUUAUCAUGACUUAUAUACACUUAUAAUAUAAUACUAGUGUUUUUUUCCCGUGCGUUGCACGGAAAAUAUAUCUAUUGUUUUUUAUACAUCAAUUAAUCAUGAAUGUGAUUAUGCGAGUUCAUUUUCAGUUUUUUUUAAUUCUAAGUUAUUUAUGUUUUAAUUUUUUUAAAGUUGUUCUCAAUAUGUGUUCAGGGAACACGUGUCUACAAUAUCUUAGAUAAUUAGGGACAACCCUUUAAAAUUUAAUGGAUUAUAAUCUCAGCACUACAUAUUUUAUUUUCAAUCAUAUUGUAGAUCAUGAGAAAGAAUAAAAGGAGAAAUCAAAGGAUUCCUGUAAAUAUGCAGUAAAUUAGACUUGAGACUUUUCCAAAUUUAAAGAGAUAAUGAAAAUGGUUUCAAGAUUUGUUUUGGAAAUAAAUUUAGUAAGGAGUAAUCUAGGUUAUUCUUAGAUAAUUAGGGCAAAUCUUUAAAAAUUCGGUUUUAAGAUAAAAUAACACAACAGAAGAGAAACUAUCUAAUGGAAUGACACGUGAAUAUUUUUUUUAUGGGAAUUAACCUGAGAAUGACAAGUGAAUUUUUUUUUAUGAGAAUUAACAUGAGAAUGACAUGUCACUAAAUCAGCCUGAUAUAAGUUAUUCUUUUCUAUUGUAUAUAUAUUGGUUGAUGGUAUUCGAAAGAAAAAUCCUCUUUUUUCCCCUAAAUAAUUUUGUUUUAUUUAAAAUGGUUCCUCUAAUGUCAUAAUGCGAACAAAGGUUAUAGGAAAUUAAAGUUUGUGUGGGGAUAGACUGUAAGGAGCUUGUUUCUCUUGCGAUUGAUACUAACAGAGACAGAAUCCGAGUCCAUCCUCAAGCCUCCAUUAUCCGUGAUAUUAAGAUUCUCCUGGAUUUGGAUUGGCGGGUUGAGCUUUCCUGGAUUCCCAAUGAAGCCAAUGUUGCGGCUGAUUGCUUGACCUAACAGGGCGCUCAUUCAUCCCUUCCUGGGUUGCAUAUGGUGACUAAUGUUGCUCCUGAGUUAGACUGGUUGAUCCUUAAGGAUGCCUUAGUUGUUCCUUAGUUUGUUGUUGCUCUGUUGUCAUUUUUCCGAAGCACCAAAAAAAUAAUAAUGCUUAUUUGUCAUUUUUUAGUUGGGAUAAAUAUGUAUUUGGUUCUUAAACUAUAGCGAAUUAUUAUUAUUAGUCCCUGAAUUAAUUUUUCAUUGAAAUCCAUCCCUUAACUUGUUGGCGUGUGAGGUUUUGGUCCCUCGAGUCAUUUGAAUGAUUACGUAGCAUAGUGACGUGUAUGUAUUUUAUGAUGUGUUAUUUUUAGUCUAAAAUUUCAGUUCAAAUAUUUUGUGUGCUUUCUCCUUUGUGACAAUUUUAAGCACUUAAAAAUCAAGUCUUUAACCAUAAAAUUUUCCAUCUAUUUUCUCAACUUCUCUCCAAAUUUUCUUUUUAAGACUUUAUCACUAAUUGCAUAUUCAAUUAAACAUCAUUUUUAAGACAAGUUUUAGAAUAAAAAUAUUCUCCUUUUCCAUGCAUAGUCUCGCUCAUACAUUCCUAACUAUCAUGAUUGAUUAUCUUUAAAAUCAACUAACAGAAGGUAAAUCUAUGAUGAAAAAUAAUUCAAAGUUUAAAAACAAGACUUUAAUCAUUAAGAAAUUUCACAAGACUUAAACUUUAAGGAAUCAAAUUAGAGGUCUAGUAUGCUUUUGCAAAAUCGAAUAAGAAACCUCACUCUAUAUUGGAAUAGGCUUUUGCAAAAUCCAGUUUAACAAAAUGCCACCUUCAUCCAUUUUCUUCAACAAAUCAACUAUUUCAUUUGCUUUAUACAAUGCAAUUAGCUAUUUGCCUCUUUCUUUUUAUCUUGUUAUUGCUUCUUUUUGUUUCUUUAUGCUUUUGUGAGAUACUAUAUUCUUGACUCAUAGUUUUUUUUUUUUUUUUUGAAAUAAGAAUGAACUUUCAAUAAUACGGGAAAUCAGAACAAGCUACAUCCAUGAUGUUUGGAGGGACAUACCCCAUCGAAAUUGAAUCAGAAGAAGAACAAGCUAUAUUAGCAAGAAAAUGAGCAAGGUUAUUCUGUGUUCUAAAAACAUGAGAAACAGAAAAAAAACUCAAAACCAGAAACUAAGCUACAGCAAUCAUCAAUGAUAAGUUGGAGAUCUGGGGAAAGCUGUCCAGCCCGAAAACCACGCGCAACAACAAGGGAAUCUGUCUCAGCCAGAACUCUGGUAAAACCAUGAUGCACCAUGAGUGUGAAUGCCCACCUCAAAGCCAAGGCUUCAGCCAUAGAAAUACUUACCUCAACCUUACAUCUACUGCAAGCAGCCAUAACCACCAAACCAGUAUGAUCCCUAAGGACACACCCCAUACCGAGCCACCCUUCCUUGAUGCUGGCAUCAACAUUUAAUUUGAGUUUCCCUACAUCUGGAGGCUGCCAUCUUCUCAACUCUUUGGGUUUCUUCUGCCUUAUGUGCCCCUCAUUCCUUGAAAUGAACUCUCUAUCAAAAAGAGAAGCAACCUGAAAAGCUCUUACAGGAUCAGCAACCUUUCCUGAAAAACAUAAGUCAUUCCGAGCCUUCCAAAUGGACCAUAACACAUGACAAAUCAAGGACAAGUGGUCACAAUCAUUCAACCCCAACAGAUUUUGAAACCAAGAAACCACCUCAGCCGAAUUGAGAACACAGUGGGAUAAACCCGACCCAAACCAUACAGCCCUGGAAAAUUCACACUCAAGAAACAAAUGAUGCAAUGACUCAGAAGCACCACAACAAAGGGGACAAACAAUAUCCAGAGCAAUACCUUUUUUCACAAGAUUUUCCCUAGUAGGCAAAAUCCUAUUCAUCAAUUUCCAGAGAAAAAUUCUGAUUUUAUGAGGAACAUCAACCUUCCACAAAUCAUUCCAAGUUGAACAAGGAAGAAAAGAACUAGAAGCACCAGGGCCAGAACUUGAACAUGAACUGAGCAUUUGAUAGGCAGAUUUAACAGUGUAAUUCCCAUCAUUGGACCAAUGCCAAGCAAACUUGUCUUCAGGGAGCCUAAUCGAAAGAGGAAUUGAUAGAAUCUUAUCAGCCUCAAAACCCAUAAAGGAGGACUUAAUUAAGUCCUCAUUCCACCUUUUCUGCUCAAAAUCGAUAAGCAUACUGACCUUAGCAUCCUUAGGCAGAUCAAUUGCAGGACUCCAGACCUUAAACCCUGACUGAUUAGGCAACCAACCAUCCUGGAAAACUCUGACAGAUUUACCAUUCCCAAUAGUCCACCUAGAGCCUUUAGAAAUCACAUGCCUCGCAGCUAGAAUACUCCUCCAAGAAAAACUAGGAAGAUACCCCAACUUAGCAUCCAUAAAAGAAGUCCUUGGGUGGUAUCUACUCUUAAAAAUCUGAGCAACCAAAGAAUCAGCCCUGUUAAUCAGCCUCCAACAUUGCUUACCGAGUAUUGCAUCAUUAAAUUUUCUAAGGCACCUAAACCCCAAACCUCCAACAGCCUUUGAUCUCUUAAGCCUUUCCCAACUCAUCCAAUGAAUUCCUUUAUCCUUAGAAUUAUUUCCCCACCAAAACCUAGCCAUCAUACUCUCCAUAGCUGAAACACACCCUUCAGGAAGCUUAAAACAGCUCAUCACAUAGGUGGGAAUCGCUUGCGCAACAGACUUCAAUAAAACCUCCUUGCCCGCACUUGAUAAAUGCCUCUCCUUCCACCCCUUUAACCUCUUCCAUAUCCUAUCCUAGACUAGAGAGAACACCACUUUCUUUGAUCUCCCAAAAACAGUGGGAAGACCAAGAUAUCUAGAAUGAGAUUGAACAGUCUUGACACCCAUCCUUUGCUGGAUUGCAUUUCUAACAUCUACCGGCACAUUAUGACUGAAAGAAAUCUCAGAUUUAUCUAGAUUCACCAACUGUCCCGAUGCUCUCUGAUAAUCAUCAAGGAUGCUCAAAACAGAAUCAGCCUCUUUGAGAGAAGCACGAGCAAAAAGCAGACUGUCAUCAGCAAAUAGGAGGUGUGAAAUCACCGGGGCACCUCUUGCAAUCCUCAAUCCAUGAAUCUGCUGGUCUCUCAUCCUGGAAUUGAUUAAACAAGACAAGGCAUUAUCACAUUGGAUAAAGAGAUAGGGGAAAUCGGAUCCCCUUGUCUCAACCCUCUAGAGGGAACAAUUUUGCUGCUUGGAAAACCAUUGAACAGAAUUUGAUAAGACACCGAGGAUACACAAUCUAUGACCAGCUUAGUAAACCUGCUAGGGAACCCCAUAUGGACCAAAACACCCUUGAGAAAGCUCCACUCCAUCCUAUCAUAUGCCUUUGCCAUGUCGAGCUUCAAAGCCAUCAUUCCUUUUUUCCCUUUUUUCUUCUUCUUCUGUAAGAUCAAGUUUUGAUCUAGUAGUACAACUCUAUGUUUUGAUGAUUACAAGUUAACCUUUUGAUAUGAAUAAUUAUGGUACUCUAACGUGUUUUUCUGAGUGUGCUAUUUACAGGCUCUGACCUUGAUUCAGUCUCACAUAAAUCAGAAGCACUGUGCAUAAAGAGUGACCCAAGCAACGCUUUCGCAACAUCUAUGUUCACUCUGAACAGUAGAAAUGCUUCAGAAGAUCUGAAGUUAUACAAACUCUGAUAUGGACUCAGCCACCAGAAGUUCUGAAGAUCCAGAAGUUCUGACAACCAAGAAACUCUGAAGGUUCAGAUGUUCUGAUGGUGUAGAAGACUCUGAAGAUUCAGAAGCUGAACAGUGGAAACUCUGAUGUCCAGAAGCAAGAAACUCUAAAGACCAUGUACUUCCCUCUGAGUCCAGAAUCAGAAGAUACAACGGUCAGAGGAUCUGUGCUUUCCCUCUGACUCUGAUCAACCGGCUUCACAAGUUCCAACAUGAAGCAUUCCCCUGAUCAGAAGUCUCCUAGGUUUAAAGGUCAAGUCGCUAUCCAAGUACAAAAGCAAAUUGUACUAUCCUGACGACCUACCUAACAUCCUCAGCCACAGCAGAAGCUGGAAUUUCCAGAACUUCCCUCCAACGGUAGCAUUUCCAUGCAACGUUCAACCCUAAUCCUUGGAGUAUAAAUAGAGGCUGAAGAUUGAAAGAAGCGGCUAGAAGCAUUCAUACACGCGCAAGAAAUAUUCAAAUCCUUCUAAGCUUUCUUUCAUCUUGAAUUUCAUUGUGUUUACUAUAAGCUUUUUAGAAGCACCUUCUUUGUAGACAAGAACUUCAUAUACAGUUGUAUAGUUUGCCUUUAGGAGAUCAAGGUUGAUCGGAUCCUUGAGAAGACUAAGAGAGUGAAUCUUAGUGUGAGCUAAGUCAGUGUAUUGUUAGUCACUUGUAGGUUUCAAGUGCAGUUGUAACACAUACCUGAUUAGUGGAUUGCCUUCAUUCUAAGAAGGAAGAAAUCACCUUAACGGGUGGACUGGAUUAGCUUGAGUGAUUUAUCAAGUGAACCAGGAUAAAAUCCUUGUGUGCUUUUCUAUCUCUUAUCUUUAGCACAUAGUUUGUUUCGAAAGAUUUGCCAAAAUCUUUAAGGUGGAAGUUUUAUCUUGAAAACGUUAUUCAAACCCCCCCCCCCUUCUACCGUUUUUCAUACCUUCAUCUUCAACCAAUGGAAACACUCAAGGGUAAUCAAAGCAUUAUCGGUAAUGAGCCUACCCGGAAUAAAUGCACUUUGAGCUGGAUCAAUAAUCUUCGGCAACACCCCUUUGAUCCUAUUAGCCAUUGCUUUAGUGACUAUCUUCAUAACAACGUUGCACAAACUAAUGGGCCUAAACUCCUUCGGGAUGGAUGGCUUCUUACACUUAGGAAUAAGGGUAAUGAAAGUGGAAUUAAUACUUUCCGGACUCAAACCCUCAUUCAGAACAGCCAACACAUGCUUAACAACCGACGCACCAACAAUGUGCCAAUACUCUUGGAAGAACUUUGCUGGGAGACCAUCAGGCCCAGGGGCCUUGAGAGGAUGCAUUUGGAAUAUGGCCUUAACAACUUCAUCCUCCUGAAAAUCACUAUCAAUCAAAUCCACAUCCUGCUGCUCCAACUUGGUGUCAAUGGCCCUGCAAAUGUCAGGGGGUUCCUCCACCAUUUGGGAAGUGAAAAUAGAUGAGAAAUAACUGUUCAGAAUAGCAGAAACGUUCUCAGGCUUGUUGUACCACACACCAUCCUCUCCUUUCAGCUUUUUAAUGCUAUUCACCGCCUGCCUUUGAUUUGCUUUAGCAUGAAAAAACCCAGUAUUCCUGUCCCCAUCUUUUAACCACAUAGCUCUGCUCCGUUGCCUCCACAUAGUCUCUUCAAGCUGCAAAAGCAGCGAGUGUUCUUCUACCAUCUCCUUAAAUUUCGCCAGAUUUUCAGGUUUAUCAUCCCAAGAAGCAUCCUUCUGCAACUCACCCUCUAGAAAAAUGAUUCUCUUUCUGAAAUUUCCCACAGUGUAACCUCGAAAGGUAUUCUUAAGACCUUGAAUACUACCAAGCUUCUUAACAAAAUCAUCUCUUUGCCCAAUCCAAGCAUGGAAGAUCUCCUCCUCGCACCUUGGAUCCAAACACCACACCUCUUCAAACCUAAAAGGACGUUGUUGUCUUCUCAUAGGGACAUCCAUAAACUUCUCAAUGGAGACAGAAAUAACUGCAUGAUCUGAACCAUAUCUUCCCAAGUGCUGCACAGAACUAGCAGGAAAAAUCUGAGAAAAUACCUCAGUACAUAAAGCUCUGUCCAGCCUAGCCUGAAUAUUUGCAUCACCUGAUAUGCCAUUAGUCCACGUGAGAGGAUAGCCACUAAAGCCCAAAUCAACUAGCCCAAGAUCAUCCAUAACAUCCCUUCCCCUCUGCAACUGAGAAUCAGACCGCGAAAUACCACCUUUCUUCUCAUUGUUCGAGAUAACAUCAUUCAAGUCCCCAACCCCAAGCCACCUCAACCCCCCCCCCUCCUGAACUAGAGACCUGAUUAGAGACCAAGUCCUCUCCCUCAGCCUCGUACACGGGUAGCCAUAAAUCCCAGAAAAACACCAAGGGUCUUCAUCCUCAACUACAGAAACAGAGAUAUGAUUGUUUGAAAAAGAAAUGAGAGAAACAUUCAAAGAUUCAGACCACCACAAAGCUAGCCCCCAUUUUCUCCCCUUGCCAUUAUCAACACAAUCCACAACCAAAAAAUUCUUAAGACCAAAGUCCAACCUUAUUUUUUCAAUUUCAAACUUUUUCAACCUGGUUUCCAUCAAGAAAACCAAUUGAGGAAUCUCUUUUCUUACGAGCCUUUGCAAGGCCCUAACUUCCUGGGGACUCCCCAAACCCCGGCGGUUCCAGCUAAGGAGUUUCAUGGCUGUAGGCAAUGUUGGUCUCCCAACAUCGCCUCUAAAUGAGCAUCAGCCAUAUCCACAUCCAUCAUCAAUUUCUUGCUUAAGUGACCCCGAAAAGUCUCAUCAUCCACUUCCACAAUAUCCACAUCAAUCAGGCUUCUCUUCUUAUCUAAACAAGAGAGGACUUUGCAAUUGUCACAGCAGCCCUACUAGCAUCAAGUCUCUUCCAACCUCUCUCGGUAGUCACCUUCUUUUCACUAGAGCUCCCAACACAAAAAGAUAGCUCAGCCACAGGAGCACAAUUUUCCUUAACCUCAGAAUCUGAGCCCUGCUUUAGAACAACAUUACCAAGUGCCUCAAGCACAUCAUCCACUUGUUGGACCACCAUACCACACUCAACAGCAGAAUUUUCAGGGGAAACAUUUGUGAUAUCAGAUAGAACAUGACUAGACAUCCCACCCACAAGAAACUCCUUAGCAGGCCCAACAGAAACAACACUUGGGGCCUUAGCAUCAGCAGCAAGUUCACCUAUACUUCUUUCAGAAACAGGAACCACAGUAGAGUUCUCAAGAUCAGCAAAAGGAACUCUAUCAGCAGACACACCAGAAUUCUUAGUAUCUGAAGACACCUUAUCAACCAACAAGCACAAAUCAUUUUUCCUUUGAACAUCCUUAUGCCUGGUUACCACCUUGGAACCACCACAGCCAAACCUAACCACACCAACAUCAUCAGAACGACCCACGGAUCCCUCACCAGCCCUCCCCACACCAUCAAUAGCAGAACGAAAUAGGGACUCACAACCUUUAGACUUCAUAGGAUGAGCAACAUCCUCACCAAAAGGGGAAGCCCUCAACCAUGGCCCAAAAGGAAAGUCCACAGCAUCAUGAUCCUCCUCAACAUCCUCAAAUUCAUUACAAUCCUUGAUCUGAUGGCCUAUUCUUCCGCAAGCAAAGCAAAAAUUAGGAAGCCUCUCAUAUCUGAAAUAAACCUUAAGCUCCUUCCCUUGCCAAAACAACAUCGUACCCCUGAGAAGAGGCUUGGUAAGAUCAAUGGUAACCUUAAUCCUGAAGAAGAGGCCCAAACGGUUCUCAAGCUUACAAUCAACCUCCACAAAGCUACCAAUUGAAUCCCCCAACCUCCUGGCAACUGCUUCAGACUUCAAUUUCAGAGGGAGAUCAUAAACCCUCACCCACAUAUCCACAGAGGAGAGCUCAAUUUUAGAUGGCUGAUCUUCAUCACUGAAUUUCUUAAGCACCAAUAUACUACGAUCGAAACUCCAUGGACCCCCUUGGAUCACAGAUAUGAGAUCCUUUGAUGUAGCAAAUUGAAACAAGUACCGAUUCUUGGAGAUCUCAUUGAUUUCGACUGGAUGUCGCCACGCCGCCUUCAUAGUGUUCAUGAACGCCCUAACAUUGUGCGAACCUUCAGACCACAACUUCCCAGCCAGCAACCGAGAGGUAAGAUCAUCAUCUCUACACUCAUCCUCAUCGAUUGUAACACUGCUCUGGAUCUCAGAAGCAUUGAGAUCGAAAUUCCGAUGCAUCGUAGAACACAGGGAAACAAGGAGAAAACUACGAAGAGAGAAAAAACAGGAAAGAGACAGAGAAUCAAGGAGCGAACCAGAGAAUCAGAGAGCAAGAUGAAGAAGAAGAGCCUAGGGAGACCUAGGAGAAGACCACCAAGUCGGUGGAGAUCUUGACUCAUAGUUUGGUCUAGCCCUUACUGUAAUAUAAUUCUCUUUUAAUAUAGAGUUUGGGCUAGCUCUUUUAAUAUAAUUCUCUUUUUGGUUUUCCGAAAAAAAAAAGUGAAGGUAAAUUGGCCUCCAGAACCUUUAAGAUAAGCUUCUAUUCACUCCCAAUCAAACUGAUGGGCCUGAAGUCAAGCAUAGAUUGUGGAUAUUACGUUUCAGGAUUGCAGAGAUGAAAGGAGCAUUUAAAACCCUUACAAUUUUCCAAGACUCAUGGAAUUCAUGGAAGAAUUUGACCUCAUUAUUGAGAUUGAGAUUGAAUUUGUCCGGGCCGAAGCUUGAUUUCCAUCACGAUUUUUAUCACUCCCCAAAGUUUCAAAUUCUGAAAAGUUUGCUUCUAAACGAGCCUUAUCCCUGUGACUUAUCUUUGAAAGUUUGAGCAUCUGAGCUUGCAAUUGGGUCGCACCUUAUUUUCCCUUGAAAAAAAGGUUCUAAAUGAUUGAAAAUGGCCACCUCUGUUCAAAAAAAAGAAAAUGGCCACCUUAAUCGAUGUUGGAUCCUCAAUGUAUACCUCACCUACGUUCAAUUUCACUAUUCUUUUCUUUGCUUUCCUUCCUUCAACUAGCGUAUCCUAGCUUUUUGCCUCCACUUUUCAAAUCGUCACAACUCAACGACAUAAUUUAUCUGUCGCAACAUUCGGAACAGACUAUUACAUUUUUAUUUACGUCGUAUCAAAUAUUAUUAUUUCUGUAACCAACGGCGUCGCAAAAUUCAGGACGAAGCAUGAUAGUUUUAAUUCCGUCAUAACAAAAAAACAUUAUUUCUGUCAUCCAAUCGGUCGUAAAAAAAAUUUCUUCAAAAAUAUAAGUAUAUUCCGUCCCAAAAAAUUGAUUUCUUCCAUCGCACAUUAAUUAUUAAUUAAAUGAAUACUAUAAUUCAAUAUAUUAUGUCCUUAUUUCUGUCCCAAAAGCGCGACGAAGAAACAUUCUGUUCUAAAAACUUUGCGACGCACAAAAUCGCGAUGAAAUGUUUCAGUCGCACAUCCGUCCCAAAAUCAUUUAAGAAUAGAAAUUUUAACAAUCGUGUGACGAGGGCGGCGAUGUUCAACUUGAUUCCAGAGGAUUGGGGUGGUCACGUCACGCCUUGGGUCUCAGAGAUCAAACAGUACUUCAAUCGCCUCAAGAGUCUCCACUUUCGCCGAAUGAUUGUCACCAACUCCAGCAAGGAAACUCAUCCUUUUGGUACGAGAACUGGUUGGAAACUGGGGUCCUUUGUUCAUAAGUGCCUUUUGUGCACAUAAGUGACACAGCGUUGGCAGUUCGCGAUGUGUGAAAGACAAUGGCUGGAAGUUUGACUGUUUGUACACGGUGCUUCCAUCAGAGCUGAAGAAUAGGGUUCAAUCAACUGUAGGGCCAACGGGCGUGGAGCAUGUAGAUGCUUGGCGUUGGAAUGAGGAGCCUGAUGGUCAUUACACGUCCAGAUCCGCCUAUGCUUGGCUCAACCAUCGGGACAAUGAGGAGGGUGAACACCAGGUUUGGAUGCAACUGUUGAAAUUGAGGAUUCCGGGAAAAUGCAAAUUUAUGAUUUGGCUUGCGCUGCACCAAUCUUUGCCUGUGAAUGUGCACUGGCAUGCUUGCUCUCUUGCCACCAGCGCUGCGUGUGGUAGAUGCUCUACCCCAACGGAGGACAUUCUUCACUGUCUUCGUGAUUGUCCACACUCGAUGGAAGUUUGGACCAGGUUAGGCUAUGGAACCUUUGUGGGCUUCUUCUCACAAGACUCUUGGUCAUGGAUCCUGGCUAUUUUACGACAAGAAGAUACAGGGCGAAUUUUGUAUAUUUGAUGGUGGAUAUGGCGUUGGAGGAACAAUAUGGUGCUAGGGACAGAGAGAUGGGAAAUUGAAUAGGUGAUUUGCAAUGUGUGGCAGGACUCGAAAGACUCUAUGCUUGACACUGUCGUGGUGCACCAGUUCAGCACAAACAAAUCUUCUUGGGAGGCUCCUGAAAUAGGUUAGGUGAAGGUAAACGUUGAUGGUAGCCACCAUCGAGCAUCCUCUGGAAUAGCCUGCGGUGGUUUGAUUCAGGAUCACCAUGGAAAAUGGCUUCAAGGUUUUUCUGGUUUUGAAGGCCAGGGGGACGUGUACAUGGCAGAGCUUCUCGGAGUUCUCAGAGGCCUUCAGCUAGCGUGGCAUCAUGGUUACAGGAAGGUAGUUUGUGAAUCAGAUUCUUUGAGUGUGGUGCAAACCUUGUCGACAGGCAAAUCAGUAAACCUCCAUUCUUGUGCGGUGCUCUUGACAGAAAUUCAUUGUAUGCUUCUGGAGGAUUGGGAGGUGAUUUUCAAGCAUGUCUUGCGGGAUAAAAACAACGAAGCUGACACUCUAGAAAAGCUUGGCUUAGAGAAGAAGUGGAGGCUCACAACCUGGAAUUCCCCUCCCACUGAGCAUGUUCAGUUGGGAGGUCUAGUCUAAUUGUUUUUUCUUUUGUCUUUAUUUUCAUAAUCUACAAAAAAAAAAAACAUCAUAAUGUGAAUAUUUCCGCUCCUAUGAAUAAUGGAGUAUUAAUGGCACAAGUAACUUACUCGAAUUUUUGUAAUUUAGUUACUCUAAUAUGAAUGAUACAAAUGGUGGAUUUAUUUAUUUCCACUCUUCCCGCUUACCUCUAUAUCACUUUUGGUUCUUGCUUAAUGUUUCCACCGUUUCUACGGUAAACCUUUUAUGGAUUUAACAUUUGCUUUAUUGGUUAAUUUGUCCUUUUAAUGCAUUGAACAUUGGCUUUAUGGUUUGUAUCUGAAAGACUGAAACACAUUGAAAACCAAAAGGUUCCUUCUUUUGAAAUGGUUGCAUCUUUUAUAAAAGGAUAUCCAUGUUGAGUCGGAGAAGAUUUUGGAUUUUUCCAAUUAAGCAAGAUUUCAACAUGUAUAAAUUCUGAGUGUACAAUAUCUUGUAUGUGGCUAUGUUAUUGGAGAACAAACCUAACAUUAGAUUGCACUGGAGGUUUACCAUACUUUUACUUUCAAAAUAGUGAUUCGUCCACGGCGCAACUUUCCUCUUAUCUUCCAACAGAUGACACAUGUAAGAAUUGAAAUAGAACGCAAUUGUUUUUUCAAUCAAUUUUUUUUAUUGUUAUAGUUUUAAUAGAGCACAUGAAUAAAUUUAAAAUUUGACGAUUUAAUAAUAUCUAAUUAAUAUAUGUAAAUUCUGUGGCAUAGGUUAAUUUACUAGUUUUUAAAUAUAAGAAAGUAAUACACAAUUACAAGUGGCAUAGAUUUAAGAAAGUUCCAAUACCAUUUGAGGAGUUAAAUAAUUACGUUGAUGAAAAAAACAUAUACAAACUUAUUGUAGAUGGAUGGUUAGGCACUUGAUAAUCUCCUCUGGUUAGUUUUGUUCAAAAUAUAAGCAUUCUAACAAUAGCCAACGGGAAUGAGUUUCACAAGGAAAACGGGAAGAUGUAAGAGGAAGUACGCAUUCCAAGGAGCACCAGGAAAGGGAAGUGAGAGAUGAUAGCGGAGAGUUUGAGUGGUCAAGAGAUAGCAAUCCAAAUAUAUAUAAUAUGGUAAGAGGAUACGGAUGGUGUAAUGCUCUCUUCACACUAUAAAAUAGCAAAACGUCAUUGCUAGAAACAAAAGUACAAAUUUAAGGAGAAAAAGAAGAAGAUUAAGGAAAUGGACAUGGUACAAUUUUUGCUUUUGCUAUGCCUCUUAGUGGGGAUAACCUCAACGGUGCAUGGUGAAGACCCUUACUUCUAUUUCACAUGGAAAGUCACAUAUGGCACACUUUCCCCGGCGGGUGUCCCUCAACAGGUUAUUCUUAUCAAUGGUGAAUUUCCUGGACCCAACAUCAACUCGACCAGUAAUAACAACCUUGUUGUAAACGUCUUCAACCAACUUGAUGAGCCUCUCCUUUUCACAUGGUCUAGUACUUUCUCUAUUUUAUUAUGAACAAUUAAGAUUAAGAGUACCAAAACGGAAAAAUAUCACAUAAGCAUAUGAAUAACUUUGCUUUGCAGGGCGGGAGUCCAACAAAGGAAAAACUCAUGGCAAGAUGGGGUACCUGGAACUAACUGUCCCAUUGCUCCAGGAACAAACUGGACCUACAAGUUCCAGGUGAAGGACCAAAUAGGAAGCUACUUCUACUACCCAAGCUUGGGCUUGCAUAGGGCAGCUGGUGGAUUCGGUGGCCUACGCAUAAACAGUAGGUUACUUAUCCCUGUCCCCUAUGCAGAUCCUGAAGACGAUUACACUGUCCUCGUUGGCGACUGGUACACCAAGAGCCACUCUGCUCUCAAGAAAUUACUUGACAGCGGUCGCGCUCUUGGCAGGCCCCAAGCUGUUCUCAUCAACGGCCAAAAUGCCAAAGGAGACGGAACCGACAAGCCACUAUUCACAAUGAAGCCAGGAAAAACCUACAAAUAUAGAAUCUGCAAUGUGGGUCUGAAAAACUCCAUCAACUUCAGGGUCCAGCAACACUCCAUGUUACUCGUUGAAUUGGAAGGUUCCCACACCGUGCAAAACAGUUACGACUCACUUGACGUCCACGUCGGGCAGUGCUUUGGUGUCCUCAUAACUGCUGAUAAGGAACCGAAGGACUACUACAUGGUUGCCUCGACCAGGUUCACGAAAACUGUUUUGACCGGCAAAGGGAUCAUCCGCUAUACCAAUGGAAAGGGACCAGCUUCACCUGAACUCCCUGAGGCCCCUGUGGGCUGGGCCUGGUCUCUGAACCAGUACCGUUCCUUCCGUUGGAACCUCACUGCCAGCGCUGCCAGGCCUAACCCCCAGGGCUCUUACCAUUACGGCCAGAUAAACAUCACCCGCACUGUUAAGCUAAUUAACUCUGUCAGCAGGGACAAUGGGAAGCUCCGUUACGCGCUUAACGGAGUCUCCCACGUUGACCCAGAAACACCCAUCAAGCUCGCUGAGUAUUAUGGGAUUGGUGAGAAAUUUUUCAAGUACGACACCAUUCCAGAUAGCCCGCAAGGCCUUUCAAAUGCUGUCACCUUGCAAACCAAUGUUCUUAACUUCACCCAUCGCACCUUCAUCGAGAUCAUCUUCGAGAACCACGAAAAAAGUGUCCAGUCGUAUAAUUUGGCCGGCUACUCAUUCUUCUAUGUCGCG
rnacentral:lncRNA from 1 species